UUUGUCUAAACAGAUGAAAACGAACAAAAAUAAAUUAAUUUACUUCGGCAGACCCAAAUCAAUUCAAAUCAAGUCCAAAUUUCCGUAACAAUUUUAAAAGAGUGUGGGGCCAUCAAAUUCCCUUAUAUUUUUAGCCUAACUCUACAAAUAAUUGUUGAGCCAAUUCAUUCAUUUUUUUAAGCCCAAAUUUCUUCCUCUCUCUUUCCCCUGCGCCAACUUCUCCAUCCAUGGGGACUCUCCAGCUUCAAUUAACCUUCCACCCUCCAUCUUCCACAAUUCAAUUCUGCAAAAUCAAAGGUCACACAAAUUUAAUUCUAGGAUUCAUUUAUCUCCUCUCCUACCCUUUCACUUCAACAUUCUUUGUACAAGCAAAAAUUAGUGAGAGAGAGGGAGAGCCGAGAGAGAAACGAGAGAGUGAAGAAAUUUGCUGCCAUGUUUUGUUUCAAUCACAACCAAGCCAAGGUGGUUCGCACGCACGUUAAAGUCGGAUCAAGAAGUUUGUUAAGGAAACUACUAAGCUUUUGAGGUUGAGCGUUGACGAGGACGGAGUAUGUUGAGCAUUUGGACAAAGACUGUAUUCAAUAAAUGUUCCGGUUGCUAUUGUGUCUUCAUACAUAGUAGUAGCCAACUUUCAAAUGCUUCCGCUACGUCAAGUUUUAGAACUCUUAUGUUUUCUUUAUUCUGUUGGACUGUUUUUCCUACGAACUUUGUUGCUAGUAAUUUCAGACCAUAAUUUAGUAAUAAAGUUCCAUCUUUUGAUCUUUA